AUUCUCACUCCCAUCGCGUAAAAUACAGCCGCUUGGUCAGGGGCCUUUGGUGUCGUCAUUAAGGCUAAAAGUCUCCUUUAGCUUCUUAUCUAAACGCACUUAGUCAGGACUAUUGGCGUCACUUUUGACGCAGUAAGGUUAAGGAAAAGGUCGUGGGUGGGUUUACGUCUCCAUGAAACGCAGGACAAGAACAGGACGGUUCUGUUUAGGAAAAGAAGAACAGGAC